rnacentral:rRNA from 1 species
UACGUAGGGGGCAAGCGUUGUCCGGAUUUAUUGGGUUUAAAGGGUGCGUAGGCGGCUUUUUAAGUCAGUGGUGAAAGACAACAGCUCAACUGUUGCAGUGCCAUUGAUACUGAAGAGCUUGAGUACAGAUGAGGUAGGCGGAAUUUAUGGUGUGGCGGUGAAAUGCAUAGAUACCAUAAAGAACACCUAUUGCGAAGGCAGCUUACUAAGCUGUAACUGACGCUGAGGCACGAAAGUGUGGGGAUCAAACAGG